UACGUAGGGUGCAAGCGUUAAUCGGAAUUACUGGGCGUAAAGCGUGCGCAGGCGGUUUUGUAAGUCUGUCGUGAAAUCCCCGGGCUCAACCUGGGAAUUGCGAUGGAGACUGCAAGGCUAGAAUCUGGCAGAGGGGGGUAGAAUUCCACGUGUGAGCAGUUGAAAUGCGUAGAGAUGUGGAGGAACACCGAUGGCGAAGGCAGCCCCCUGGGUCAAGAUUGACGCUCAUGCACGAAAGCGUGGGGAGCAAACAAGG
rnacentral:rRNA from 1 species